CUAUAUAGUAAGUAAAAGCUGCUAUAUGAUUAAGUAAUAUGAAAAUUUCGUGGUGUAUGACCUUUUUUCAUAGAAGUGUAAAAGGACCGAAUCCCGUGAACUGCAAUAUUUUAUUUAUUGAUGUUUGAUAUUAAUGGAGGAUCGGGAAUGUAGUUACCGGCGCGGCGCGGCAGCCACGAUGAGAGGGUUCUCGUGUCGUGCCGCUUUAUCGAAGUGGUCCGAACCGUACCGAGAAUUACCGAAUUUAUACUAUGUCAAGAAAAGGGAUGUCCAACAUGCGUGUUUGAGGAUGUUGUUGAAUCGUUUUUUGUUCAAAUUGAUUAAAAUUUAAAAUAAAAAAAAAGAAAAGAAUUAAAUUUAAUAAAAAUAAAGUAUAACUUCUUA